CACUGCUGCUCCGUGUGCUGUAGAGUCUGGUGCUCACGCCCUCAGCGCUCCUUGGCAGCUCCUUCAGAGACCUGCUCAGCUGCUUGCCUUUGCUGUGGAACAUCUCACGCUUAGUGGAUCCCACUGUCCCGGAUAGAUGUCGCACUGGGUGUUGGAGAAACCUCUUGGCUCGUACACUGGGAGGUCUUCAUUGCAUUGGAAGAGGAGGCUAUAGUGUGAGAUGAAAACCCGGAGGCGCUGCACACACACCAGCAGCAGGAGGCUAAUCAGGGCCAAGGUGGAUGAGCCAUCUGCUUCAACAGUGUGACCCAGCAGUGUGCAAACAUGCUCCUGCAUGACCUGCUCAGAGAAGAAAAGGCUGGUGACAGGAAAGCAGAGCAUGACUGCACCAUCAGGAGACCGCUGAGUUCUGCACGCUUGGAAGGGGAAACUGUAGUGCUAUUGUCUGCAUGGGGGUAGCUUAGCAAUAGCUUGUAAUGGUGAAGGCUCCUGACUUUCAACAAUAUUCCUGCCCCAACAUGUCUCUAGCAGGUCUGUGUGUGUUUCAGCAAGCCCUGGUUUCCCUGAGAGGUGCUGGGGCUAGUUUGCUGUUGGAAUCCCAGUGAGGUGUUGGUGUUUUUCUGCUGUGUUUGCUCUGUGGGGUACGUGCCUAAAAGCCUGGGGUGAACUGAAGUCUAGAGCUUCCAGUAAUAAUCAGCCAGGAAAAGAUUUAAGAAAUUAAGCUAUAAGGAAAUGAACAAAACGGACACCACUGCUAAUUAGCACUUCCGGAGCCCUUGAGUUCGGGCCCUUACUUAGCUUUCACUUUCCGUGAUUCCCGCCUCUUCUCUUGCUGCAGCUGUUCAAUUUUCUGUUGCAUUUCCUCCUGCUUGGCACUGAUUUCUUCAAUCAUUGACUUUGCAUCGCUGAGCUCCUCCUGAGAAACAGGCAAAAGCACAGCAUUCCCAGGGUGCCCAUCAGCCUUACAUGGCACAGCUUUGAAUGCUGGCUGGUGUGCACUAGAGAUGUUUCAGGGUGCUGUGGAGAGUGGCUCUGUGGUUAGACACUCUUCCUUUGCAAGUCCAGUGUCUGUAAUACAUGCCAUGCACAGUGUGGCAAUCCUUAAUUCAACUACAGGCAACUCACCCAAGCCAGCGUGAUUUCACAUGGUUAAGGCACUGGUGGGAGAUGGAGACAUCGGGCUUCAUCGACCACCAGUUGCAAGCACUGGGAGGACUCCUGCCUUUAAUGGCAUUAGGAGGUUGGCCUGAGGAAGCACAUUUCCCUCUGCAGUUCUCCAGCAUGUGUAUUCACAUGUUGCACUUGGUCCAGAUCCCAGUGUGAUCACUCAUACAUGUAUAAGCUUUUUGCUGGUCAGGCCUUGGAGCUGCCUUUUUAGCCUGGUUUCCUAAGGAAAUGAGGCCCUCUGUAAACUCCCUGUCAGCACGUCCUCCCUCAGGCAGUUUCAACCAAGCCUUACUCAGAUGUAGAGCUCUCCGAUGCAUGAAGUUCCUGCAGGUUUCAUCAAUGUGAGCAGCAGGAUGGAGGAGAGAGACUCAAGAGUUUCUUGUAAAUCAAAGGAGAGGGAUUUUCCCCAAACAAGGAGGUGGCUUCACUGGGAGCUCAACAUUUGGACAGUCAACAUGGACAUGAGGCAGAGGGAGAGCAGCCUUUGCCCCUCCUGUUGCUUGCAUAAUUCCUUGUAUCUGGAUUUUAAACCCCCUUUUUCCCCUGUAACAAUGUCCUGGAUAACCCUGCCUCUGGUUGCUUUGAGACCUCUGCCAUGUGCCCUUACACUUCUUGUCUCCCUUGCUUGUCUGGGACCACAGGGCUCCUUUUGCCCAGUGCGAUUCAUCUUUCCCUGUCACAGGGUCAGUAACAGGCUUUUCCAGUAAGCAGCCCUCUUUAACUUCACAAGGUAUUAUUGACUCAGCAAAACCCCAUGGGGAAAAUUUACCAUAAAAAUAAUAAAACAGUUCCUCUGCCUGCCUCCUCACAGGCAGUCAUCCAGUUUCUGCAUGGAGACACUGGCUGGUUUAAAGUGUACAUCAAGCCUUCUUGCUAGGCUCUCUCUCCAGUCCUUUGUCUUUAUCCUCUUGGGCCAGAUCAAACCAAGCAGCACUUCCUUCCAGCCGUGUGGGAAUGCAACUUCAAAAGGCUUUAGGGUUUUGUGUUAAUUCCCUGCUCCCCAGAGGUUUUGGUUCCUGCAGGAAAUGCAAGAGACCUGACCCAGGGAGAGGUAUGGCACUGUGGCCCAGCGGCAGCCUGUGAACAGGCCAUGUACCCGUUGCAUGUGCAACCUGGAGCAAGGGUUGCUUCUGCCCAGGGUAGCUCGCGGCACUGCCUCAUGGCCCAUCGAGAAGGCUAAACAGGCCAGAGCACGGGUUACAUUUGGGUUGGAGCAGUCGGGGCAGUCGUAGACAGAAAGCCAAAGGAAGUGCACCAGAUACAUCGGAAACAAUUGCCAGCUCAUUUUCUUUGCAAGCAGGAGGGAUUGAUGGAGGCAGGGGAAUGCUGCCCUGUGCCACCUGAGCUAAUGUGGCAGCGGCAGCUCUUGACCUUCUCCUCCAGCGCAUACUCGCCAUGCUGGAUUCGCGACAGCUCCUGCAUCGCUUCUGUGAAACCCGCCUUCAACUCAGAGGCUAAUGCCUGCAACUAGAGGAACCACAAACACGAGGCCCUAGCACUGCUGGAAGAGCUCACAACCUAAGCUGGAGGCAGCCGGUUGACAGCCGGGCGAAGCAGGAGACGGGCCGGGGCGAGCCAGGCCGGCAUAGCGAGCAGACAAGGCAGGCGUGGAGACUGGAAAUACAUAGGAAACAUCACUGUGGAAACACUGAAACUGCAUCUUACGGGAAGGAUGCUCCCUGGGCUGUGGUAUAGACAAUCUUGUUGCAUCCAUGGUGGCUGACUGCAGCAAGAAUGUCAACUCAAAAAGCGGCUGCAGAGCUCUGGAAGUCCUGAUCACCUUGAACCAACGUGGGCUCAAACAGAGGGUUUCCAAGCUCCUGGCUGGGGAGCCAGAGAUGUGCAGCAAGACUCAAUGCUCUGGCUGGCCCAGCUGCUCUGGAUUAUCAGGCAAGAAGAGCACCCCAUGGUCCAGGGAGCUGUGACGGGUUGCCAGGAUAACCCAGAGACUUGGCCCCUGCUGGGGAAGACACCCCCACCCCAUGUCAAUCAACACAUCCUUGCUCCUGGGACAGUUCAUCGGGUUUGGUGAAAGCUCAUCAGAGCUCAGCCAUGAAAUCUCCCUCCGGCCCAGUGAAUUGACAUUCUCUAAUUUGUGCUAAUGAUGCCAGCUAGUUAAUUAGCUGAGCUCACAAAUCACCUGUCUAAACACAACUGGUUGUGAGCAGAGAAAUUUUAUUGAAGUGUCUUUUAAGAUGAGGCCCAAGAUGUGAUAGAAACCUUCAAUUAUCUAACAGAAAUUAUCACUGGUUGUGCUGCCGUUGCACUUUGAGGGAAUUGCAGUCCAAUGGCCAUUGGUUCCCAUGUUAUUCCCUACGUCAGGCUCCCUGGCUGGCCUCCACUCCCAGAAAACACCAUGCCACCCAGUUCCUCGUCUGAUUCCCCUCCCCUUGGCAAUGUCACUUUGUGAGGUUUGGCCCUUCUGGGUCUUUUGCGGGGGGGAUUUUCUCUGCAACCCCACAAACUAGAAACCGACUUUUGCCCUGAAGUGAAUGAUGAAGCUUUCCCAUGAUGGAUGGAAUUGAGGCUUGAGAAGGCAGCCGGUGUGUACUGCGAUCCUCCUGAAUCAAGAAAAGUGACGUCCCACUUCAGCAGGUCCCCUUGCCCAGCACAUCACUGGAGCUAUGCCAUCAGUCUCUCAGACAGCAAUUUAGGGUGAAGGAUGCAACACGAAGAGCAUCUGUGGCUCCCCUCUACUAACACGAGGAAACCUGCAGUUGUCAUGAGGGGUGAUGCGCCUAAGAGGAGAAGCUUACAGGAUGGCAUUCCCCCCUCUGCUAUGGUGCAAGUGAUGACAUGAAACAGCUUGGGUCCAGUACAAUGAAAGAGGUUUUUCUGAUAUGGAGAAAAACAACCUACAUGAGGUUUUAAUGAGAGAGAAGUAAUACUUGUAGAAGAAGGGCUCGUAUGGGGAUAUGUCCUUGCCCCGUUACCUAUCUAUCUUCUGUUCUCAUGCACUUUCAACUCAGGGCUACGUAGGGCUGGAAGGUAGCCCUUUGGCAUUUUAUCUUAUCUCUUGGGUUGUAAAAACGCUGUCGGUUCCUGGUAUCAGAAGUAAUUUUUCCUUAUAGAGGGAACUCAAAACAAUAGCUGUACAGCAUGGAGAUUUAACUGAGGAGCUUCCACAUCACAUUCUUGCAGACAAGGACAAUGUUUGAGCGCAGUCUCUGUCCUCUGCAGAGCUCAGGAGUGAGGCUUUGAAACUGGGACACCAGGGAUGCCACCAUCCCCUCCUGCUCCAGGCACCACCAGGAGCCCUGCUGUAUGACCGCACUGCAAACUCUCAUCAAGCCAGAAUGACAUCUCCGGAGCAAAGCCCAGAGAAUAGUUUCAGCACGUUAAAGCGACCAGAUUCCUCCAUUGUGGCAAAAGGAAGUAUUUUCCCCUUUUGACUCUGUCUUCCCUCCGGCAGCCAAAUCUGCCAAGCCCAAGAACCAAAGCUGAGUGCCACCUCUGUCAUUAGUGAUUGUCAUGAUUCUGGCCACUGGUGUCCAGCAAAGAAUACUGCCCCGGUGCUUUGCAGGAGCAGCUGGCACUGCAGCCCCCCCCACCCCGAGCAGAGCGGGCAGCGUGUGAAAGUUAACAGAGCCUGAGCGGGCACCCAUUUCCCAUGAGAUGCCCAAGGGAGAAGGUGUGGGUGGACGGGGAGGUCCCAGUGGGUUUCCGCCUUUACCUAUGCCCCAGGCACAGGGUCAAAGACCGGAGCGCGGUGCCACUGAGGCAGCACAGGGGUGGGAUUCCCACACGAAGCUGGGGGGGGAGGGAGGGGAGGCAGGUCCCGCAGCCUGCACUGUGUUUGUGUGACCAUGCUCACCCUUCCAGUGCUCCCCCCACAUGGAAUGGCAUAACUGGGAGAAACAAUCAACUGUGCAGAGGAUCACUUGUUUAAAAGAACAACCAAAUACCUGAGCAUUAGCAUGCAAACAGGCAAAGUUCAGUAAAGCAUCUACAGCCUAGCCUUGAUGGACAACAGUUACUAUUUGUUUGGCUUUCUGUCCCAUUCUGAAAUCUUGACAUGGGUAACAGUGCAGGGGAAUCCAUAUGCACUUUCGCUGCUUCAGUUGUUAAAUGUCCACAAUUUUUCUAAAUAAAUGCUUGGGAUCUUCCUGGUGACUGUCUCAAUCCUGCCAGCUGAGAUAGCUGGCUGUUUUAAAUAUCGCACUUAGAGAACAACCUCCUCUAAAGAGAGCAAAAAAAUCAGUGAUUUACUCUCAUCACUCUCAUGCUUUGUCUCCACCUAACUCUAAUGCAGUUGUCAUUCAAAUACUUCAAUUCAGCGUGAUACCUCAAUUUAGCUCUUAAAUGGUAAGAGCAAAAAGGGUCUUUUUAACCCAGUAUUUUAGAGACCUUACUAUAAAUGCAGCCUCACAAGAUUCUCCAGCACACUAAGAAGCUAGAUCUCCAUACAGGGUCUUAGAAGAAAUCAGCUGGAAAUAACUGUGGGCACUGAAGAUGCAAAAUACUUUAAAUACCAUUUUAUGUGCUGUACAUGCAACAUUAAAUAGCUACGGCUCUAUCUUUUUCCAAUAAUAUGAAAAAUGGUAUCAUUAAUCCCACUCUUCAUCCCAUGCCGAGUACAUUUUAAACUUACCCCAGGC